UUACAUUAGUGUCAUAGUUUUACUUGUUAGCAUUCAGUUCUUGAGCCCAUCUUACUUUUGCGUAUGGUGUGAGGUAAGGAUCCGAUUUUUUUUUCUCAGAGGAGUGAGCCCAUUUUCAACAUCUUGGUUCCCAAAUAUAGACAGUUCUGCACUGAGCUCUGUGGUUUGCUCCUGUGCUAGUACCACAAGGUUUUAUCAUGAUGGUUUUAUAGCCAGACAUCAUGAUUGAGGGCAAGUCCCCCACUCCUACUUCUUCUGUCAAAACGUCACUGGCUAAUCAUGAACCUCCAUCAACCCAUAUAAUUUUCAGGAUGUUUUCAAGUUCCUCAUGAGAAAUUUUAACUGGAACAUUAAUGAAUUUAUGAUUUAACUUGGGGAAAAUUCACAUUUGUAUAAUUGUAUCUCAUUCAUGAACAGAGACUAUAUAUCUGGUAGACAAAAAAGGACAUAAUAUGGCAGAGGCAUAAUGCACUAUGGAGGCAAUGGGAGAAGUGGCAGCUGAAGCUGGAGGAUCAGGCUGAACCAAACUGCAAGCCAAGCUAAUGGAAAUGAGAACACAGGGUAGGCAACAGGGCUCAGGCUACUUUGUGUGUUUACAGGAGAUCCAAUCACACGCUGGGACUAACAGGUGGUGAUACCAUCGUGAUCCAGAGAGACUCCAUAACAUUCCUGAAGAUUCCUGAAGACCGUGUUCCCCUUUGUUGUUGUAAUAAAAAGGAACACUAGGUGGCAUCACACUACCAAAAGUUCUCACCUUUUAAAGCCUCCAGGAGACGCUCAUCCACCAAGAUUGGGUCAGCCCCUAAUUUAGACAAAUUUCACUUCCUCGGGGAGAGAUUUCCUGACCAUCCUUCAACACCAGAUUACCUUUGCAAGUACCAUGUAUUCGACUUCUUGGACCCUCUCACAAUGGUAGUUAAUCAUGUGUUCAUGGAAAUGGUUGCUUAAGAUCUGUCUUCUCUACAAGCUAUCAAACAAGAAGGCAAGGUACAUGUAUAUGUUGUUCAGCCCUGUCUCCAUUGGUAUUGUAGGCUGAACUGUGUCCCCCUAAAACUCAUAUGUUGAAGCUAUAACCUCACUACCUCAGAAUGUCACUGUAUCUGGAGAUGAGGGCUUUGUGAGUUAAAAUAAGGCCAUUAGGGUGGGCCUAAUACAGUCUGAAUUGUGUCCUUACAAGAAGAAGAAAUUUGGACACACAAAGAGACACCAGGGACGCAUGUACACAGAGGAAAGACAUAGUGAAAAGAAGGGCAUUUGCAAGCCAAGCAGAGAGGCCACAGGAGAAACCAAACCCACUGACACCUUGACCUUGGUCUCCUAGCCUCCAGAACAGUGAGCAAAUAAAUUUCUCUUUAAGCCACCCUAGUCAGUGGUACUUUAUUAUGGCAGGCGAAAAAAACAAUAUAAAUGGCCAUCACUCCUCUCAGUUUACAACUAUUAAGUAAGUGUCUAUUGAAUGAGCUCUAAAAUAAGGAAGAACAGUGAAGGAUAGCAUAUUAGGAAAAGCUACAUGGUAGACAUGGCCCUUGACCUUGACCUUAAAUGAUACAGAUGGCUCAGAGAGUCAUGGAAGAAAAUAGAAGGAAUCCCAAGUAUGGGAAGUAGCAUUGGGCACAUACCAAGGCAAGAAUGUAAAAGUCCUGCUAUAGGGAUGGUGCGGUCCCUCUCAGGGGCCAGUGGACACUAAUGUUGAGAAGAGGGUAGGUGAAUGGUGGAGGUUUGGAAGAAUAACAGAGGCAUGGCUGCAAACUCAAAGACCAGGGACAGCCAAGAACACAUCCAUUCACUCUGCCAGAUAACUUGAAUAUAUGAUCAUGAACUGUAAUACCUCUGCAAAGCUCUUUGUUUAAACCUGGAUAUAAGUGCUUCCUAUGGCACCCUGCUAGGAUUUCUAAGCUGUGUGUUGUGACUCAUAAUAAGAACAGCUUUCUGUACAUAACACUCACUUCUUUAGUAGCACCCAGUGAAGAUACAUCGCAGAACUCCAGAAAAGCAGAAAGAAACACUGAGAUGUGGCUCUGCAUGGAAAGUCCCAGCCUACGAUGCAAAGCGACUGUGCCCUAAAGGAAACCUGCUCCUGCAAGGGAUCAGAGAGGUCCUGGAGCCAAUUUGGAGGGAGUCCACACAACCCACAAUUCCUUUCUCUGAGACUAGUAACUCCCCCCAGGAACCUGCUGCAGACCAAACUUAACAGAACAUUUGUUGAGCAUUUGACAUCGGUUCCCGAAGGAUCUCCAUACAAACUCCACUCUUGAUACUGGAGGAGGCUACAAAGCUGGGGC